GCCGAGGUCGCAUAACCUGGUAUUGCGCAGGCCUUGAGAGCCUGUUCCCUUCGGGGUAUCUGGGUUCGAAUCCCAGCCUCGGCG
rnacentral:tRNA from 1 species